rnacentral:rRNA from 1 species
UACAGAGGGUGCAAGCGUUAAUCGGAGUUACUGGGCGUAAAGGGCUCGUAGGCAGCUCCUUAAGUCAGACGUGAAAUCCCUCGGCUUAACCGGGGAACUGCGUCUGAGACUGAAGAGCUUGAAUCCGGGAGAGGGAUGCGGAAUUCCAGGUGUAGCGGUGAAAUGCGUAGAUAUCUGGAGGAACACCGGUGGCGAAGGCGGCAUCCUGGACCGGUAUUGACGCUGAGGAGCGAAAGCCAGGGGAGCAAACGGG